AGUUACCGACUCCGUGUCGUAAUUUUAGCGCUGCGUGUAGCACACCGCAACAUGGUUGACAGCUGGCUGACGUUAUUUUUGGUUUGCUGCUGGCGGCAAAUUUAAGUUUGGCGUUUUUCAUAAAUAAAAGAAGGACUCAAAUAGCCGAGAUGGACAAAAAUGUCUAUAGCGGUGAGGCAAAGCAGCAUUGACAUCAUGGACUCUAUACAGAUUACAGAGGAGGUGUUUGCUGUCC